CCAUAUCCUUUCCCACGACCACCCCGCGCCGGUCGGCUCGCCUCGCCGGCUUCCCACCCACCGGACCACCACGCUCCACAGCACCACCACCGCGCGCAGCCAUGGCGUCCUCAUCCUCCACCUACCUCAUGCUCCCCUGCUCCCGCGCUCCCCUGGCUCCAUUCCCAAGGCCACUGCCGAGCCCCCAUGUCGCGAGGCCCGCUUUGGCCGGCAUCACCAGGGGCGCCAGAGCCGGUGACCCUCUGUUCAGCGCCGCCGCGUGCCGCACGGCAGGGCGGCCCAGGGGGUGGGCCCAAAUAUGCCGGGACUCCUCACUCCAGGGUCCACCCGGCGCCGGCUCUCCUGCGCAGGAACAAGAGGAUAAGAAGAAGGAAGAGGCGGUGGCGGGGGCAGCAGCACGGAUUGCGAGUGGUAGUGGAAGCGGAGGUGGGAAGCUGAGCGACUGGACCACGUCGGUGCUCCUCUUCGGCAUCUGGGCGGGGCUCAUGUACUACGUCUUCCAACUCGCGCCCAACCAGACACCGUACAGAGACACAUACUUCUUGCAGAAACUUUUAAAUCUGAAAGGUGAUGAUGGCUUUCGAAUGAAUGAAGUUCUUGUGGCUCUAUGGUACAUUAUGGGCCUCUGGCCACUAGUCUACAGUAUGUUGCUUCUUCCUACUGGCAGAAGUUCCAAAAGCAAGAUUCCUGUAUGGCCAUUCCUGGUUCUUUCAUGCAUUGGGGGAGCAUAUGCUUUGAUUCCAUACUUUGUCCUAUGGAAGCCUCCUCCACCUCCCAUUGAUGAAGAUGAAAUUGGGCAAUGGCCAUUAAAAUUUCUUGAGUCAAAGUUAACUGCAGGAGUGGUGUUUGCCCUGGGCAUUGGACUGAUUAUAUACGCAGGCAAAGCUGGUGGUGAUGAUUGGAAGGAAUUCAUUCGAUACUUUAGGGAGAGCAAGUUUGUAAGUUCUGCAGCAUGGUCUUGACUGAAAGAGUAAUAACAAAUGUUAUGUCAUAUUAUAAAAUUCAUGCCACCUGCCUUGAUUUCACUUUGCUAUCGACCUUCUCACCAUUCUGGGUCUACAAUGACAUGACAGCGCGACGAUGGAAAAAUGGUUCAUGGCUUCUGCCGCUUGCACUGAUACCUUUUGUGGGGCCCUCACUGUACCUUCUAUUACGCCCAUCACUUUCUUCUCUGCUGGCAGCAUCUGUUUCACCAUCUGAUGAAAUUCAGAAAUAAUUAGCGUCUAACUUAUAGCCAAUGAAGAUUUUGGUUGUGAUCAGAUGUCAUGUGUAGGUUGAUCUGGAGAUUUGACUUGUAAGCCUGAAUGCUAUGUCUAUGUGAUCUGGAGAAAAUCCACAGUUUUGCAUGUCGAUGCAGUAUUCAAACUUGAAAGCAUGUCUGGACAGGGAAGUCAUUCUCUACAAUAUCUUCUCCUGGGCUCCUGACAAAUUAUCGAGGUUAUACUCAUGGAGUAUUCAGCAAUGUUUCAACCCAUGAAGACAAGCAAUUUAUAGUAUGGAGCAAGUACUCCGUAUUCGGAUAUUAUACUGCUGUAUUGGUUGUAUAGAAAAUGUUCUGUUACAGUGACCCAUAUGUAAGAAGCCAGAGCAGCGGUACAGACUGAUGAAUAGCUAACCACUGAUUGCUAUUCAGAUUAUGAUAAUCUAUAAGUUGUGGAGGAGGUGCUUUCAGAUUA